UAAAAUGGGAUUGUCACUGUUCAAUGAACAGUGAUGGUGAACAGUGAUACAGCUCUUUUUUUCCUUUCAAACAGAUAAACAUGGGGUUUUAUACUGUUCUGCUAUGACGCUUUUGUCUCUUCUGCCGCUUCGAUCUUUUUUCUUUAAUUCGUUUUGGGUCUUGGUCGGUUUCGUCAGAGAAGAGAAAGAAGAAGAAGAAGAAGAAGGAGGAGGAGGAGGAGGAGACGGGAAGCUCUCUUUCCUUUCUCUUGCCUCUGAGUCCGCUCACUGCUCGGGUAUGAUUCGUUCUUGCAUGCGCUUAAUUGAUCUUGCCUAGGCAUUCUGCUGGUCGAGAAUGGUAUUCUGGUAUGGUUUAUGGUAUUCAAAUCAUCAAAAGGUAAUCCCGGUCUUAAAGUUUGGAUUUUUUUUUUUUUUUUUUAAGUUUUUGGCUUCUGGGUUUUAUGAGGUUUUGAAGUGAAAUGGCCCGAAUGGGUAGGAAAGUUUGGAACUUUUGGGGUGUUAAAUGCCUUUUGCUUUCUGGGUUUUUUAGGUUGUAAUUGGAAAAAGGGUGGUGUAGACUCUGCAUGCAGUCCCAGGCUCCCAGCGUUGCCUCACCUUCCCGGUCAUACUCCGGCGAGCCAUUAAAACGUACUCAGGAGUCAGAUCAAGAGGAGCCUCACAUGAAAAGGAAGGUGCUUGCUGAGGCCAAAUUGAGGAUGGGGAUUGACUGACAUUGAAGCUGUAUGAGUAACGUAGCCUAAAAUUUUUGUAUUCAUCGUAUUUCUCCCGGGUUAGUUUCGCGAUGGAGGACCCGAAAAGAUGAGCCGCCUAUUUUUCUGGGUCGCACCUCUUGCGCCACCAUAGGAAAGAGCGGAGGUAAUCAUGUUCGAGUGCAACGUUGUUAUAUAUAAGUUUGUGCAGGAACUUCACUUCUUUGUGACUGGAGGUGACGAUGAAAAUGAACUCAUUUUAGCAACUCUACUUCAGGGAUUCUUUGAUGCAGUUGCCCUUCUCUUGAGGAAAAAUGUCGACAAAAGGGAGGCAUUAGAGCACCUGGAUCUCAUACUCCUAUAGUUCAAUGCUUUGAUGUGAUCAUUGAUCAAGGAUCUGCUCAUUUUUUACCCUUUGCAACUGUUAAAGCAGAAGAGAUUUCGGUGUCACUGCCUGCUGAAAUACAUCACUUAGUUAAGUUUCUGUGAUUAAUCCUUAAACUUGCAGUAGUAAUUGGUCAUGGAGAGUUGCCUACAAUUAUAAGAUGAUUCAUCAAGCGCAAUUUCUUUUGCAGUAAUUGAUCAUUUUUUCUGUUGCAUGAUCUAUGGACCUUCAUUGGUGUUGAUGUCUACUGAAAUAUGUAAAUAUACUAUUGUGGUUAGAACAUUUUAUUUUGUGGAAAUAUUGCAGUUAAAAUGUCUAUUUAAACAAUAUCGGUUAAUAUUAUGUUUGAAA